rnacentral:rRNA from 3 species
UUGUCAUGCCAAUGGCACUGCCCGGUAGCUAAAUGCGGAAGAGAUAAGUGCUGAAAGCAUCUAAGCACGAAACUUGCCCCGAGAUGAGUUCUCCCUGAGACUUUAAGUCUCCUGAAGGAACGUUGAAGACGACGACGUUGAUAGGCCGGGUGUGUAAGCGCAGCGAUGCGUUGAGCUAACCGGUACUAAUGAACCGUGAGGCUUAACCUUACAACGCCGAAG